CCUUUCGUUCCGGCGGCUCCUAGAGCGUUUGCUUUGUUCCCGAUAUGUCUCGUCCCUCCGGGGUUAACUUGCAGAUGGUUUGCUGACAGACAAAACCGGGCUUUGAAUGGAGCGUGAACUCCUGAGGCGAGCAUUGGCCCGAGAGAGCCGAGGAUGCAGGUGUUGGUCUGAUCUUGAUUUCAGGUACUUUUGGAAUACAGAAUACCAGAUGUGUUCCUGCUGCCCAGCCCCACAAGGCUAUGCAGAAUGCAAAGAAGAGUUACUUUUUGGCUGGGGAGUAGUGGUAUCAUGUGCACUAUUGCUGGAAAUAAUAAAUAUUGGCCUAUCUGUAGAAAUAAAAAUCUGACUAAUGAUAUUUA
rnacentral:lncRNA from 1 species